AANUUUCAACAACGGAUCUCUUGGCUCUCGCAUCGAUGAAGAACGCAGCGAAAUGCGAUAAGUAAUGUGAAUUGCAGAAUUCAGUGAAUCAUCGAAUCUUUGAACGCACCUUGCGCUCCUUGGUAUUCCUCGGGGCAUGCCUGUUUGAGUAUCA
rnacentral:rRNA from 1 species